rnacentral:rRNA from 1 species
CGAAGCACCAGAGAACUACGAACAAAAGUUUAAAACUCAAAGGACUUGGCGGUCUUUUAGAUCUCCCUGGAGGAGCUUGCUAUCCAACCGAUAACCCACGGAAAACCUUACCAGCUAUUGUAAAUUCAGCCUGUAUACCAUCGUCGUCAGUCUACCUCCCAAGAGAAGUUUUCACAAAGAACAUUUUUCAUCUCAACGUCAGAUCGAGGUGCAGCUAAUAAGCUGGCGAUCAGUGAGCUACAAUAAAACCACAAAUCCUAAACCCCCUUAUGGACAGUUAUUUGAAAAAAAAACUAGAAACAGGAUUCAGCAGUAACACUUACCAGACAAUAAAUGUGAAACACCCC